GAGCUUGCUCUCGGGUGACGAGCGGCGGACGGGUGAGUAAUGUCUGGGAAACUGCCUGAUGGAGGGGGAUAACUACUGGAAACGGUAGCUAAUACCGCAUAACGUCGCAAGACCAAAGUGGGGGACCUUCGGGCCUCAUGCCAUCAGAUGUGCCCAGAUGGGAUUAGCUAGUAGGUGGGGUAACGGCUCACCUAGGCGACGAUCCCUAGCUGGUCUGAGAGGAUGACCAGCCACACUGGAACUGAGACACGGUCCAGACUCCUACGGGAGGCAGCAGUGGGGAAUAUUGCACAAUGGGCGCAAGCCUGAUGCAGCCAUGCCGCGUGUGUGAAGAAGGCCUUCGGGUUGUAAAGCACUUUCAGCGGGGAGGAAGGCGAUAAGGUUAAUAACCUUGUCGAUUGACGUUACCCGCAGAAGAAGCACCGGCUAACUCCGUGCCAGCAGCCGCGGUAAUACGGAGGGUGCAAGCGUUAAUCGGAAUUACUGGGCGUAAAGCGCACGCAGGCGGUCUGUCAAGUCGGAUGUGAAAUCCCCGGGCUCAACCUGGGAACUGCAUUCGAAACUGGCAGGCUAGAGUCUUGUAGAGGGGGGUAGAAUUCCAGGUGUAGCGGUGAAAUGCGUAGAGAUCUGGAGGAAUACCGGUGGCGAAGGCGGCCCCCUGGACAAAGACUGACGCUCAGGUGCGAAAGCGUGGGGAGCAACAGGAUAGAUACCCUGGUAGUCACGCCGUAACGAUGUCGAUUUGG
rnacentral:rRNA from 1 species